UACAGAGGGGCAAGCGUUGUUCGGAAUUACUGGGCGUAAAGGGCGCGUAGGCGGCCUGCUAAGUCGAACGUGAAAUCCCUGGGCUCAACCCAGGAACUGCGUCCGAUACUGGUUGGCUUGAAUCCGGGAGAGGGAUGUGGAAUUCCAGGUGUAGCGGUGAAAUGCGUAGAUAUCUGGAGGAACACCGGUGGCGAAGGCGACAUCCUGGACCGGUAUUGACGCUGAGGCGCGAAAGCCAGGGGAGCAAACGGGG
rnacentral:rRNA from 1 species